CCUACGGGUGGCAGCAGUGAGGAAUAUUGGUCAAUGGACGAGAGUCUGAACCAGCCAAGUAGCGUGAAGGAUGACUGCCCUAUGGGUUGUAAACUUCUUUUAUAUGGGAAUAAAAUGUUCCACGUGUGGGAUUUUGUAUGUACCAUAUGAAUAAGGAUCGGCUAACUCCGUGCCAGCAGCCGCGGUAAUACGGAGGAUCCGAGCGUUAUCCGGAUUUAUUGGGUUUAAAGGGAGCGUAGGUGGAUUGUUAAGUCAGUUGUGAAAGUUUGCGGCUCAACCGUAAAAUUGCAGUUGAAACUGGCAGUCUUGAGUACAGUAGAGGUGGGCGGAAUUCGUGGUGUAGCGGUGAAAUGCUUAGAUAUCACGAAGAACUCCGAUUGCGAAGGCAGUUCACUGGACUGCAACUGACACUGAGGAUCGAAAGUGUGGGUAUCAAACAGGAUUAGAUACCCUUGUAGUC
rnacentral:rRNA from 1 species